GACGAACGCUGGCGGCGUGCCUAAUACAUGCAAGUCGAGCGAAGUUUUUCUGGUGCUUGCACUAGAAAAACUUAGCGGCGAACGGGUGUGUAACACGUAAAGAACCUGCCUCAUAGACUGGGACAACUAUGGGAAACGAUAUCUAAUACCGGAUAACAGUAUUUCUCGCAUGACAGAUAUUUAAAAGUUGGUUAUGCUAACACUAUGAGAUGGCUUCGCGGUGCAUUAGCUAGUUGGUGGGGUAAAGGCCCACCAAGGCGACGAUGCAUAGCCGACCUGAGAGGGUGAUCGGCCACACUGGGACUGAGACACGGCCCAGACUCCUACGGGAGGCAGCAGUAGGGAAUCUUCCGCAAUGGGCGAAAGCCUGACGGAGCAACGCCGCGUGAGUGAAGAAGGAUUUCGGUUCGUAAAGCUCUGUUGUUAGGGAAGAAUGGAUAUGUAGUAACUAUACAUGUAAGUGACGGUACCUAACCAGAAAGCCACGGCUAACUACGUG
rnacentral:rRNA from 1 species